UCCGGUUGAUCCUGCCGGACCCGACUGCUAUCAGAGUGGGACUAAGCCAUGCGAGUCAACAUAGCAAUAUGUGGCAUACGGCUCAGUAACGCGUAGUCAACAUGCCCAGGGGACGUGGAUAACCUCGGGAAACUGAGGAUAAACCGCGAUAGGUCAUUACUUCUGGAAUGGGUAAUGACUUAAAUCUAUAUGGCCCCUGGAUUGGACUGCGGCCGAUCAGGCUGUUGGUGAGGUAAUGGCCCACCAAACCUGUAACCGGUACGGGCUCUGAGAGGAGGAGCCCGGAGAUGGGCACUGAGACAAGGGCCCAGGCUCUAUGGGGCGCAGCAGGCGCGAAACCUCUGCAAUAGGCGAAAGCUUGACAGGGUUACUCUGAGUGAUUUCCGUUAAGGAGAUCUUUUGGCACCUCUAAAAAUGGUGCAGAAUAAGGGGUGGGCAAGUCUGGUGUCAGCCGCCGCGGUAAUACCAGCACCCCGAGUGGUCGGGACGUUUAUUGGGCCUAAAGCAUCCGUAGCCGGUUCUACAAGUCUUCCGUUAAAUCCACCUGCUUAACAGAUGGGCUGCGGAAGAUACUAUAGAGCUAGGAGGCGGGAGAGGCAAGCGGUACUCGAUGGGUAGGGGUAAAAUCCGUUGAUCCAUUGAAGACCACCAGUGGCGAAGGCGGCUUGCCAGAACGCGCUCGACGGUGAGGGAUGAAAGCUGGGGGAGCAAACCGGAUUAGAUACCCGGGUAGUCCCAGCUGUAAACGAUGCAGACUCGGUGAUGAGUUGGCUCAUUGCUAACUCAGUGCCGCAGGGAAGCCGUUAAGUUUGCCGCCUGGGGAGUACGGUCGCAAGACUGAAACUUAAAGGAAUUGGCGGGGGAGCACCACAAGGGGUGAAGCCUGCGGUUCAAUUGGAGUCAACGCCGGAAAUCUUACCGGGGGCGACAGCAGAGUGAAGGUCAAGCUGAAGACUUUACCAGACAAGCUGAGAGGAGGUGCAUGGCCGUCGCCAGCUCGUGCCGUGAGGUGUCCUGUUAAGUCAGGUAACGAGCGAGAUCCCUGCCUCUAGUUGCUACCAUUAUUCUCAGGAGUAGUGGAGCUAAUUAGAGGGACCGCCGUCGCUGAGACGGAGGAAGGUGGGGGCUACGGCAGGUCAGUAUGCCCCGAAACCCUCGGGCCACACGCGGGCUGCAAUGGUAAGGACAAUGAGUUUCGAUUCCGAAAGGAGGAGGCAAUCUCUAAACCUUACCACAGUUAUGAUUGAGGGCUGAAACUCGCCCUCAUGAAUAUGGAAUCCCUAGUAACCGCGUGUCACUAUCGCGCGGUGAAUACGUCCCUGCUCCUUGCACACACCGCCCGUCGCUUCAUCGAAGUUGGUUCUUGGCGAGGUGGUGCCUAAUUGGUACUAUCGAACCUGGGGUCAGCAACGAGGGAG
rnacentral:rRNA from 1 species